rnacentral:rRNA from 1 species
AUUGAACGCUGGCGGCAGGCUUAACACAUGCAAGUCGAGCGGAGAUGAGGUGCUUGCACCUUAUCUUAGCGGCGGACGGGUGAGGAACACAUAGGAAUCUGCCUUUAGGUGGGGGAUAGCCAGGGGAAACUCUGGGUAAUACCGCAUGAUCUCGAGAGAGCAAAGGGGCGCAAGUCUCGCCUUUAGAGGAGCCUAUGUCUGAUUAGCUAGUUGGCGGUGUAAUGGACCACCAAGGCGAUGAUCAGUAACUGGUCUGAGAGGACGAUCAGUCACACCGGAACUGAGACACGGUCCGGACUCCUACGGGAGGCAGCAGUGGGGAAUAUUGGACAAUGGGCGAAAGCCUGAUCCAGCAAUUCCGCGUGUGUGAAGAAGGCCUUCUGGUUGUAAAGCACUUUAGUUGGGGAAGAAACAGCUUGGCCACACCAAGCCUUGACGGUACCCAAAGAAUAAGCACCGGCUAACUCUGUGCCAGCCGCCGCAGUAAUAC